rnacentral:rRNA from 1 species
UACAGAGGGGGCAAGCGUUGUUCGGAAUUACUGGGCGUAAAGGGCGCGUAGGCGGCCUUCUAAGUCGAACGUGAAAUCCCCGGGCUCAACCCGGGAACUGCGUCCGAUACUGGAAGGCUUGAAUCCGGGAGAGGGAUGCAGAAUUCCAGGUGUAGCGGUGAAAUGCGUAGAUAUCUGGAGGAACACCGGUGGCGAAGGCGGCAUCCUGGACCGACAUUGACGCUGAGGCGCGAAAGCCAGGGGAGCAAACGGG